UGGGGAAUUUUGGACAAUGGGCGAAAGCCUGAUCCAGCCAUGCCGCGUGAGUGAAGAAGGCCUUCGGGUUGUAAAGCUCUUUUAGUCGGAAAGAAAGAGUUGCAAUGAAUAAUUGUGAUUUAUGACGGUACCGACAGAAAAAGCACCGGCUAACUACGUGCCAGCAGCCGCGGUAAUACGUAGGGUGCGAGCGUUAAUCGGAAUUACUGGGCGUAAAGCGCACGCAGGCGGUCUGUCAAGUCGGAUGUGAAAUCCCCGGGCUUAACCUGGGAAUUGCGUUUGAAACUACAAGACUAGAGUGCAGCAGAGGGGAGUGGGAUUCCAUGUGUAGCAGUGAAAUGCGUAGAGAUGUGGAAGAACACCGAUGGCGAAGGCAGCUCCCUGGGUUGACACUGACGCUCAUGCACGAAAGCGUGGGGAGCAAACA
rnacentral:rRNA from 1 species